AGGUCCAGGCAAAGUGUAACAUCACCUAGGUGCUGGACCCAGGUACAUGCCACAAUCUACCCUCUGGGUGGGACCCAGGAGGAAGAGCAACACAACUCAGAAGAUGGGUUCAGGAGCCAGACCCAGGCAGGAGAAGCACCUCACUCAGGUACUAGGCAAAGAUAUAUCUCACAACCACAUCUGUGGAAAGGUCCAGAGAAGAGCUUAACAAUUCCACACAUGUCCUGGCUUCAGGUGGAGUGGCUCACACCUGUAAUUCCAGAACUUUGGGAGUCCAAGGCAGACAGAUCACCUGAGGUCAGGAGUUUGAGACCAGCCUGGCCAACAUGGCAAAACCCCAUCCCUACUAAAAAUACAAAAAUUAACUGAGCAUGGUGGCAGGUGCCUGUAAUCCCAGCUACUCAGAGGGCUGAGGCAGAAGAAUUGCUCGAACCUGGGAGGCAGAGGUUGCAGUGAGCUGAGUUCACGCCACUGGACUCAAGCCUGGGUGACAGAGCUAGACUCCACAAAAAAGAAAAAAAAUUAUUUUCCUAAUUCAGGAAUUUAACAUGAUUUUCACAGCCUCACAUUUUCAAAAAUGGUUUAUUCUAAAAGAGAAAUGUGAUUAAACCAUUUUUUCCCCAAAAAGAGUAGAGUGACAAAUUAUAAUCUAGUGUACAGUUAAU
rnacentral:lncRNA from 1 species